UACGUAGGGGGCAAGCGUUGUCCGGAAUCAUUGGGCGUACAGCGCGUGUAGGCGGCCAGAUAAGUCCGCUGUGAAAUCUCGAGGCUCAACUUCGAGCUGUCGGUGGAAACUGUCUGGCUAGAGUCCGGAGGAGGAGAAUGGAAUUCCUGGUGUAGCGGUGAAAUGCGCAGAUAUCAGGAAGAACACCCGUGGGGAAGGCGGUUCUCUGGGACGGUACUGACGCUGAGACGCGAAAGCCAGGGGAGCAAACGGG
rnacentral:rRNA from 1 species